rnacentral:rRNA from 1 species
UACGGAGGGUGCAAGCGUUAUCCGGAUUCACUGGGUUUAAAGGGUGCGUAGGAGGGCAGGUAAGUCAGUGGUGAAAUCCCCGAGCUUAACUUGGGAACUGCCGUUGAUACUAUCUGUCUUGAAUAUCGUGGAGGUGAGCGGAGUAUGUCAUGUAGCGGUGAAAUGCUUAGAUAUGACAUAGAACACCAAUUGCGAAGGCAGCUCGCUACACGAAUAUUGACUCUGAGGCACGAAAGCGUGGGGAUCAAACAGG